GAAGAGACAGGGGUGGAGAGAGAGAGAGGAAGAGACAGGGGUGGAGAGAGAGAGAGAGAGGAAGAGAUAGGGAUGAGAGAGAGGAAGAGACAGGGAUGAGAGAGAGAGGAAGCGACGGGGGUGGAGAGAGAGAGAGAGGAAGAGACAGGGGUGGAGAGAGAGAGAGGAAGCGACGGGGUGGAGAGAGAGAGGGGAAGCGACAGGGGUGGAGAGAGAGAGGGGAAGCAACAGGGGUGGAGAGAGAGAGAGGAAGCGACAGGGGUGGAGAGAGAGAGAGAGGAAGAGACAGGGGUGGAGAGAGAGAGAGAGGAAGAGACAGGGAUGGAGAGAGAGAGAGAAAGAGACAGGGAUGGAGAGAGAGAGGAAGAGA
ensembl:lncRNA